UUAAAAUUUGUGCCGUACCCUACUACCCUCUCUCACUUCAAUUCAUUUUGUUGGAAAAUUUCUCUUUCUUCACCACCAUUCAUUCAGCCACCACCAUUCAUUCCUUCAACCCUAGCCGCCGUCUCCUGAUCCAUCUUCCAUUCAACCCUAGCCGCGCCGCCGUCUUAUGCUCCAUCUUCCGUUACACCCUAGCCGCGCCGCCGUCUCCUGCCCCAUCUUCCAUUCAACCCUAGCGCGCGCCGCCGUCACCUGCUCCAUCUCCGACGAUCUGUUUCACAAUGUUCCUUUUUCAACUAAGUCUUCUCAACCACUAAUAACAAUUACAUCUGUUCCCGUGGUAAUUCAACCAUUGUCUAGCCAACAAAAUGUUACGUCUCAGGCAUGAAUGUAAGUCGAAGUAUAUUACUAAAGUCAACGAGAAGCUUACCGAACUUCAAAGGUCUGAAAUUCAGAAAACACCUUUUAAAUGGUUAUUGAGUUUGCCUAAGAAAUUAAAAAUAUCCGAAAAUUUGCUUGAAGAAUUGGUGGAAAGAUGGGAUGAUAGGAGUGGGGGGUUUGCUAUACAAGGUCGGAUAAUACGGUUUACACCUUUAGAUGUAUGUUUUGCAUUAGGACUUCGUAUAAUAGGUGAAAAGAUGAACUUCAAAAAUGACCCUACAUCCACUACGAAAGCAAUGUUCGAUAAUGAAGUCAUCAAUGUAAAAACAAUUUAUGCUAAAAUUAUUAAUAUGGAACGAGACGAAGAUGUUGAGAAGUUUUGCCGACUUUAUUUACUUCUUGGUUUUGCCGAGUUCUACUUUCCAAAUUCAAGUGUUAAGGUUAGUGGUUGGUGCCUAAAAAUGUUAGACGACUUGAACUCCAUUGGGAGAUACAAUUGGGACUUGAACUCCAUUAGGUAUGGGCUCUAGAGCAUGUACUAGGAUACGAACGAAGUUAUCAUGAUUCUCCAUUGACGUUUCCAUGAUUUAUGAAGGCACGUGGUGUUAGUUUGGUUGGCAAAAAUAUAUCACACUUGCUUGAUAAUUAUUUGGUUAUUGAAGAGUUAAGUGCAACUAAAGAAGAGGUUGCAAAUGAAGUUGUGAGGGAGGCGUUAGAUCGAGCGCCAAGUGGAUAUAUUAAAUGGAGACCAGAUCCUAUUAUCAGUCAGUUAAUUGUUAACAAUCGCCUGUUGGGGGAAGCAAACAAAGGACUUUCCGCAAGGAUAUCUCUUCUUGAAUCGGAAACUAGAGAGAUGAAGAAGUUAUACGGUAGUGCACAAUCCAGUUAUGUGGACGAAGGUGUCUUCAAUGAUGAAGGUGUCCACGAGGACGUCUCCAUGGAUGAGAUUGAAAGAGUUAUUGAAAGGGAGGUGGCAAAUGUAUCAUAUGAUGUAGCACAUCAUGCAUCAAAUCUCUUAACUAUAAUUAAGGACAAGCCAAGAAACCGUGUAAAAAGUGGGGUUCUGCUUUACCCAUGGGUGAAGGAUGGACGCAUAAAGAAGAAGAUUUAAAUUAGUGUAGUGUUUUGAUAUGAUUGCAAUGUAGAUGUUUUUUUAUGCUAUUUUUUAUUUAGUAGGACAAUGUCGCACCUAUAAUAUUAAUGGAAACACCGUAUGUUGUUAGUUAUUAACAUUGUUGAACUAUCCUACAGUUUAAUGAGUCACUGUGCCUGUUAUGUAAUAAAUUUUAUUGGGAGGUUUGUUGUUA